rnacentral:rRNA from 1 species
AGAGUUUGAUCAUGGCUCAGGACGAACGCUGGCGGCGUGCUUAAAACAUGCAAGUCGAACGAGACCUUUGGUCUAGUGGCGAACGGCGGAGUAAUACAUAAGCAACCUGCCUCAAAGACCGGGAUAGCCCCUCGAAAGAGGGAUUAAUACCGGAUGUGGCCUUUUGUGGGCAUCCACGAAAGAUUAAAACGAGCAAUCGGCUUUGAGAGGGGCUUGUGGCCUAUCAGCUUGUUGGUGGGGUAAUGGCCUACCAAGGCUUCGACGGGUAGCGGGUCUGAGAGGAUGAUCCGCCCGACUGGGACUGAGACACGGCCCAGACUCCUACGGGAGGCAGCAGUUGGGAAUCUUGCACAAUGGGCGAAAGCCUGAUGCAGCGACGCCGCGUGGAGGACGAAGUCUCUCGGGAUGUAAACUCCUUUUGCCAGGAACGAUAAUGACGGUACCUGGUGAAUAAGCCCCGGCUAACUACGUGCCAGCAGCCGCGGUAAGACGUAGGGGGCGAGCGUUGUCCGGAUUUACUGGGCGUAAAGAGCGCGUAGGCGGCCUAUUAAGUCAGGUGUGAAGUCUCCAGGGCUCAACCCGGAAACUGCACUUGAUACUGUUAGGCUGGAGUGUCGGAGAGGUGAUUGGAAUUCCUGGUGUAGCGGUGACAUGCAUUGAUAUCAGGAGGAACACCCAUGGCGAAGGCAGAUCACUGGCC